GGGGUUGGGGAUUUAGCUCAGUGGUAGAGCGCUUGCCUAGCAAGCGCAAGGCCCUGGGUUCGGUCCUCAGCUCCGAAAAAAAAAAAAAAAAAA
rnacentral:scRNA from 1 species